UAUAAUAUAAUAUAAUAUAUAUCUCUCUCUAAUGUGACCCUUUAGUCCGAAGGCUAUUGUUUUGGGGGUGUUGUCAGCAACACUUAUUAAGAGCACUGUUUGUCCAUUUCCAAAUUCCAAACUUUUUCCAAAAUAAUAAUUGGGGGGGAAAUCUGAAAUGGGGUCACAUUUAGGGCAACCGGUAUUGAUUUAAUAAAAAGCACUUUACUGUACAAUGUGGCUGACUGCAGUUCACACAAAGCUAAAUUUAUGACUGUUGUGACAGAAUUUUGUAUCGUUUUGUAGAAACCAAACCAACAAAAACGCAAUAAAAUGCUUUGAACAGUCAUAUAUUUAGCUUUGU